UACGAAGGGGGCUAGCGUUGUUCGGAAUCACUGGGCGUAAAGAGCGCGCAGGCGGCUUGGCAAGUCGGGUGUGAAAUCCCGGGGCUCAACCCCGGGACUGCAUUCGAUACUGUCAGGCUAGAGGUAGGUAGGGGAGAUCGGAAUUCCUGGUGUAGCGGUGAAAUGCGCAGAUAUCAGGAGGAACACCGGUGGCGAAGGCGGAUCUCUGGGCCUUACCUGACGCUCAGGCGCGAAAGCUAGGAGAGCGAACAGG
rnacentral:rRNA from 1 species